AGCGAACGCUGGCGGCAGGCCUAACACAUGCAAGUCGAACGAAGUCUUCGGACUUAGUGGCGGACGGGUGAGUAACACGUGGGAACGUGCCUUUAGGUUCGGAAUAACUCAGGGAAACUUGUGCUAAUACCGAAUGUGCCCUUCGGGGGAAAGAUUUAUCGCCUUUAGAGCGGCCCGCGUCUGAUUAGCUAGUUGGUGAGGUAAAGGCUCACCAAGGCUACGAUCAGUAGCUGGUCUGAGAAGAUGACCAGCCACAUUGGGACUGAGACACGGCCCAAACUCCUACGGGAGGCAGCAGUGGGGAAUCUUGCGCAAUGGGCGAAAGCCUGACGCAGCCAUGCCGCGUGGAUGAUGAAGGUCUUAGGAUUGUAAAAUCCUUUCACCGGUGAAGAUAAUGACUGUAGCCGGAGAAGAAGCCCCGGCUAACUUUGUGCCAGCCGCCGCAGUAACAC
rnacentral:rRNA from 1 species